ACCAGACUCCUACGGGAGGCAGCAGUGGGGAAUAUUGCACAAUGGGGGAAACCCUGAUGCAGCGACGCCGCGUGAGUGAAGAAGUAUUUCGGUAUGUAAAGCUCUAUCAGCAGGGAAGAAGUUGACGGUACCUGAGUAAGAAGCCCCGGCUAACUACGUGCCAGCAGCCGCGGUAAUACGUAGGGGGCAAGCGUUAUCCGGAUUUACUGGGUGUAAAGGGAGCGCAGGCGGCGAGUUAAGUCAGCGGUAAAAUUUGGGGGCUCAACCCCGACAAGCCGUUGAAACUGGCUUGCUAGAGUGGGCGAGAAGUAUGCGGAAUGCGUGGUGUAGCGGUGAAAUGCAUAGAUAUCACGCAGAACUCCGAUUGCGAAGGCAGCAUACCGGCGCCCAACUGACGCUCAGGCACGAAAGCGUGGGUAUCGAACAGGAUUAGAUACCCGCGUAAU
rnacentral:rRNA from 1 species